rnacentral:rRNA from 1 species
UUAACAAAAACAUGUCCUUUUGAUUAUAAUUUAAGGUCUAAUCUGCUCAAUGAUUUUUAAAUAGCCGCAGUAUUUUAACUGUGCAAAGGUAGCAUAAUAAUUAGCUUCUUAAUUAGAGGCUUGUAUGAAUGAUUGGACGAAAAAAUUUCUGUCUCCUUUUAAUGGGGUUUUGAAUUUUAUUUUUAAGUUAAAAAGCUUAAAUUUUUAUAAAAGACGAGAAGACCCUAUAGAGUUUUAUAUCUAAGAUUUAUUAAUAUGUAGUAAUUUCUUUAUUUUUUAGGUAUUUAGUUGGGGUGACUUGAAGAUUAAAUUAAUUCUUUAAAUAUUUAAUUGAUGAUUUUUAAAUUCGAAAUCUAUUUUUUUAAAUUUAAAAUUAAUUACCUUAGGGAUAACAGCGUAAUUUUUCUUUAAAGCUCUUAUUGAAAGGAAAUUUUGCGACCUCGAUGUUGGAUUAAAAUUAAUUUUUGGUGCAGUAACUUAAAAAUUAGGUCUGUUCGACCUUUAAAAUUUUACAUGAUCUGAGUUUAGACCGGCGUAAGCCAGGUUGGAUUCUAUCUUUAGAAUUGCUUAUAUAUUUUAGUACGAAAGGACCAAAUAUUUAUCUUAUAUUGAUUG